GCCGAGGUGGUGGAAUUGGCAGACACACUAGCCUUAGGAGCUAGCGCUCACGCAUUAAGGGUUCGAGUCCCUUCCUCGGUA
rnacentral:tRNA from 1 species